GACGAACGCUGGCGGCGUGCUUAACACAUGCAAGUCGAACGGAAAGGCCCUGCUUUUGUGAGGUGCUCGAGUGGCGAACGGGUGAGUAACACGUGAGUAACCUGCCCUUGACUUUGGGAUAACUUCAGGAAACUGGGGCUAAUACCGGAUAGGAGCUCCUGCUGCAUGGUGGGGGUUGGAAAGUUUCGGCGGUUGGGGAUGGACUCGCGGCUUAUCAGCUUGUUGGUGGGGUAGUGGCUUACCAAGGCUUUGACGGGUAGCCGGCCUGAGAGGGUGACCGGCCACAUUGGGACUGAGAUACGGCCCAGACUCCUACGGGAGGCAGCGGUGGGGAAUAUUGCACAAUGGGCGGAAGCCUGAUGCAGCAACGCCGCGUGCGGGAUGACGGCCUUCGGGUUGUAAACCGCUUUCGCCUGUGACGAAGCGUGAGUGACGGUAAUGGGUAAAGAAGCACCGGCUAACUACGUG
rnacentral:rRNA from 1 species